GAUGAACGCUGGCGGCGUGCCUAAUACAUGCAAGUCGAGCGAACAGACGAGGAGCUUGCUCCUCUGACGUUAGCGGCGGACGGGUGAGUAACACGUGGAUAACCUACCUAUAAGACUGGGAUAACUUCGGGAAACCGGAGCUAAUACCGGAUAACAUGUUGAACCGCAUGGUUCAACAGUGAAAGACGGUCUUGCCGUCACUUAUAGAUGGAUCCGCGCCGCAUUAGCUAGUUGGUAAGGUAACGGCUUACCAAGGCAACGAUGCGUAGCCGACCUGAGAGGGCGAUCGGCCACACUGGAACUGAGACACGGUCCAGACUCCUACGGGAGGCAGCAGUAGGGAAUCUUCCGCAAUGGGCGAAAGCCUGACGGAGCAACGCCGCGUGAGUGAUGAAGGUCUUCGGAUCGUAAAACUCUGUUAUUAGGGAAGAACAAAUGUGUAAGUAACUAUGCACGUCUUGACGGUACCUAAUCAGAAAGCCACGGCUAACUACGUG
rnacentral:rRNA from 1 species